rnacentral:rRNA from 1 species
GACGAACGCUGGCGGCGUGCCUAAUACAUGCAAGUAGGACGCAGUUGCGAACGGGUGAGUAACGCGUAGGUAACUACCUAUUAGAGGGGGAUAACUAUUGGAAACGAUAGCUAAUACCGCCUACUAGUAGAUGGACCUGCGUUGCAUUAGCUAGUAGGUAGGGUAAUGGCCUACCUAGGCAACGAUACAUAGCCGACAUGGGAGGGUGAGCCGACAAACGGGGACUGAGACACGGCCCAGACUCCUAAGGGAGGCAGCAGUAGGGAAUAUUCGGGAAUGGGGGGAAACCUGACCGAGCAACGGCGCGUGAGUGAAGAAGGUUUUCGGAUCGUAAAGCUCUGUUGUUAAGGAAGCGGUACUUAACCAGAAAGGGACGGCUAACUACGUGCCAGCAGCCGCGGUAAUUC